UACGUAGGGGGCAAGCGUUGUCCGGAAUCAUUGGGCGUAAAGAGCGUGUAGGCGGCCAGGUAGGUCUGCUGUGAAAACUCGAGGCUCAACCUCGAGACGUCGGCGGAAACCAUCUGGCUAGAGUCCGGAAGAGGCGAGUGGAAUUCCUGGUGUAGCGGUGAAAUGCGCAGAUAUCAGGAGGAACACCAAUGGCGAAGGCAGCUCGCUGGGACGGUACUGACGCUGAGACGCGAAAGCGUGGGGAGCAAACAGG
rnacentral:rRNA from 1 species